UAGGGAAUCUUCCACAAUGGACGAAAGUCUGAUGGAGCUAACGCCGCGUAGAGUGAUGAAGGGUUUCGGCUCGUAAAACUCUGUUGUUGGAGAAGAACGGGUGUCAGAGUAACUGUUGACAUCGGUGACGGUAUCCAACCAGAAAGCCACGGCUAACUACGGUGCCAGCAGCCGCGGUAAUACGUAGGUGGCAAGCGUUGUCCGGAUUUAUUGGGCGUAAAGCGAGCGCAGGCGGUUUUUUA
rnacentral:rRNA from 1 species